UUGUGCAGACAGUGUGCUGAUUGGACUGCUGAGGACUGGGGUAAAGUCAUUUUCUCUGAAAAAUCCCCUUUCCGAUUGUUUGGGGCAUCCGGAAAAUACCUUGUUCGGAGAAGAAAAGGUGAACGCUACUAUCAGUCCUGUGUCAUGCCAACAGUAAAGGAUC